ACUCUCUCCUUUCUGGUCUAAAUUGGGUUGGAAUAUAUAUCAAAGGAAGCCAGAAAGUGGUUGGGGAGAUUAAAAAAAACAACAACAACAACGUUUAGACUGAAUGUCUUGACGGUCCAUCCAUUCACUUCUGCUUUGAAAAUGACAGGGUCUCACUCUGUUACCCAGUCUGGAGUACAAUGGCACCACUAUAGCCCACUGCAGCCUCAAACUUCUGGGAUCAAGCAAUCUUCCCACUUCAGCAUCCCAAGUAGGAAUGUCUCAUUAAAUGACAUCAAAGCCUGAUUCUGCAAUUAAAAAAGCGUUUAUAUUAACUGGAUUUUGAAAAGAGAAAAGAACAAUAAAACCACCCCCCAAUUCUUCAAACAACAAAAGAGGAAACACAGCAACCCCCUUCCCCAAAUUUUGGCAUUUGUUCACCUCUUUUAACCCUUGCUUUUUUGUAAAAUAACUUAUGGAGAAAUUGUUGUGAGCAAAAGGUCUUAAUUGCAAAAAAAAAAAAAAAUCCUUUUAGGAGUGUUUAAAAUAAAAUGACAGAGUAUAUUUAUGGAGCCUGGACAAUGCAUCCUUUUCUCAUAUUUUCCAGUUUUGUAAUGCCUAAGUACUCGUCUAGAAUCUGAAUUUAGUAAUGCCAAUAUUGGACUCUUUCACAUACAUUCUAUAGAGUUAUUAGUAAACUCAUGACAACCAACUAACCAACCAGGCAAACAAAAACAUAUUUAGAAACCCAAGCUGUAAGGCACAGCUCAUGCACACACACACAAAAUUUCAUCCCAAAAUAUGUAUGAACUUUGAGGGAACAAUCAGCACUCUAAAGCAGCCGAACCCCCUGCACAGUUAGGAAUGAGCGGGCUUCUGGCAGUGUCUUUUAAAAAGGCACAGAGAUUUGCGUAUAGACAUAUUUCUAGUGCAUCAAUGACAGGUGGCUCUUCCCCAUCUAAGCAGGAUGGAUGGAGGGAGUUAGGUACAAUGGCUUAUAAUUUUCAAAUACUGUAAUUUUUUUUGUAAAGAUGGAAACCAUUAUUUUUUAAAAGCAUGUGGUUUCAAUAGUGCAUAUUUGAUUUAUGACUAAGAAUUCUUUUUCUCCAUGCCAUAUUAGUACCCUCACUUAAUUAAAUAGUUUUCUUUUUUGAAACUUAGAUUGGACAGAAAUCUGUUUUACCAAGGUAGUGAAUAUGGCUUUGUCAAAAUCUCUGUGUGUUUGUGUGUGUGUAUGUUGAAAUAAGUGCAGAAUUGAGAUAAUGAUGUGGAC
rnacentral:lncRNA from 1 species